rnacentral:misc_RNA from 1 species
UCGAAUCUCGCAACGAGCAAGACCGCGCACACGUAUACGCUGCACGGGGAACCGGCGGGAAGGUGCGCGCGCCUCCCGUUGGUUGCCCCGCACCCGCCCGACCCUCGCGCGAUCGAGUGCGAGCGGCGGGUCCAUCAACAAACCCACGGCGCGGAAAGGCGCCAAGGAUCACAAACGCGGAGCGCUGCCCCCGUGGUGCACCCGUUCGCGGUGUGCCGUUCGGGGGAUGUGCGUCUCCCAAGAUUGCAUACGGAAAAAAU